UGAGGAUUUCCAAGGUAGCUAGGAUAUUGCCACGUGCACUGACCCGGAGGUGAUUCAAAACCGGCUUCGACUCGACCAACACAUGCUUUUGGGUUGGCGGCAUUUAUCAGGCACUCAAAGAAGUCUAACCGUGAUCUGACCUAACCAAGACUUUUUACUCGGAAGAAACUAAACAGGUUCUGAGGAUCCUUUUGGUUUUGGUGGGAGCCCUGUAGGUCGAUCAAAUUAUAGGAUAAUUUAAAAAAUAAUUUUUAUUAU
rnacentral:lncRNA from 1 species